GGCGGUGAUGCGUUUGCGCCAUGCCACACCCUCGUAAGGACCCAGCACCACACAGUACGUCAACAUUCUUACUACUAAGUAGCGACACCGAGCAGGUCCAUCCACACGACGCCCUGUAAGGCAGCCAGCGGUUUCUCACCGAGGUUCUAACCCAGUGUUUCAUAAACUCAGUACUUUUUAGACGAUUUUAAAACUCUCAUACAGUGUUGGCAAUAGGGCAAUAGAACAGUGCUUUCAUGCAUCAGUGUUACCAACAGUGUGACAGUGAAGUGAAUCCCCCCACAGCAAAUAAACUUACCUACGUUCAAACAUGAUUGCAGUUUGCAACCCUGAACAGGACGGACGUUGUAAUGAAUUGUUUAACACAGUGUUGUAGUGAGCUAGGUCUAACACUCGUAGUGACACAUCAGCGGCCCACUUCGGUGUUUCUAGUCCCAUCUGCACUCGGAUACACUUACGCGCGUAAAUAUAUUGCGAGUCGGAGACAGCAGAGAUGGGCUUUGCCCAGGCCGCUCCUCGUGUAUUCGUAUUGUUUUCUCCCAGUGAGUAAAUAUAUUCUAUUUUAAUAUAUUUAUUUUUGUUUUACUAAAAUAUACAAAUGCUUAGGCUUAUUAGCUUAUUAUAUUUUAUGUAGAAAGAAUACUGUACUUUGUGCAUGUACUAGAGACUGGUUGCAAAAUAAAUACGCCAAUGUAAUCCA